GGAGCAUGUGGUUUAAUUCGACGCAACGCGAAGAACCUUACCAGGUCUUGACAUCCUCUGACAAUCUGAGAGAUCAGACUUUCCCUUCGGGGACAGAGAGACAGGUGGUGCAUGGUUGUCGUCAGCUCGUGUCGUGAGAUGUUGGGUUAAGUCCCGCAACGAGCGCAACCCCUGUGGUUAGUUGCCAUCAUUUAGUUGGGCACUCUAAGCAGACUGCCGUGGAUAACACGGAGGAAGGUGGGACGACGUCAAAUCAUCAUGCCCCUUAUGACCUGGGCUACACACGUGCUACAAUGGUCUGAACAGAGGGCUGCGAAACCGCGAGGUGAAGCUAAUCCCUUAAAACAGAUCUCAGUUCGGAUUGCAGGCUGCAACUCGCCUGCAUGAAGUUGGAGUUGCUAGUAACCGCAGGUCAGCAUACUGCGGUGAAUACGUUCCCGGGCCUU
rnacentral:rRNA from 1 species